GAUAAUAUAAAAGUAACAGACACACAACCAUCAUAGGACUCAACCGCACCAGCCACACAAUCAGGGGUCAUUCACCCGCACAUCUAUGAAUGUGAUAUAUGCCAUCAUGUGCCAGCAAUGCCCCACUGCCAUGUACAUUGGCCAAACUGGACAGUCUCUAUGCAAAAGGAUAAAUGGACAUAAAUCCGACAUUAGGAAUGGUAACAUACA